rnacentral:rRNA from 1 species
GACGAACGCUGGCGGCGUGCUUAACACAUGCAAGUCGAACGGAAAGGCCCUGCUUUUGUGGGGUGCUCGGGUGGCGAACGGGUGAGUAACACGUGAGUAACCUGCCCUUGACUUUGGGAUAACUUCAGGAAACUGGGGCUAAUACCGGAUAGGAGCUCCUGCUGCAUGGUGGGGUUGGAAAGUUUCGGCGGUUGGGGAUGGACUCGCGGCUUAUCAGCUUGUUGGUGGGGUAGUGGCUUACCAAGGCUUUGACGGGUAGCCGGCCUGAGAGGGUGACCGGCCACAUUGGGACUGAGAUACGGCCCAGACUCCUACGGGAGGCAGCAGUGGGGAAUAUUGCACAAUGGGCGGAAGCCUGAUGCAGCAACGCCGCGUGCGGGAUGACGGCCUUCGGGUUGUAAACCGCUUUCGCCUGUGACGAAGCGUGAGUGACGGUAAUGGGUAAAGAAGCACCGGCUAACUACGUG